UAGAGAUAGAGAUAUAUAGAUAGAGAGGUAAGAAGAUGCAGAGAUAUAGAGAUAUAGUUAUAUAGAGAUAUAGAGAUAUAGAGGUAUAGAGAUAUAGAGAUAUAGUUACAUAGAGGUAUAGAGAUAUAGAGGUAUAGAGAUAUAGUGGUAUAGAGGUACAGAGAUAUAGAGAUAUAGUUAUAUAGAGGUAUAGAGAUAUAGAGGUAUAGAGAAGUAAGAAGAUACAGAGAUAUAGAGAUAUAGAGAUAAGGAGGUAUAGAGAUACAGAGAUAUAGAGAUACAGAGGUAUAUAGAUAUAGAGGUAUAGAGAUAUAGAGAGAGAGAUAUAGAGAUAGAGAGGUAAGAAGAUACAGAUGACCAUAUUAGAGAGACAUAUUUCCCUCAGAUUACACCUAUCCACAAAGAAUUCGAAAACAAAUCCAAUUUUGAAAAACUCCCAUAUCUACUGGGUGAAAUUCCAC
ensembl:lncRNA